CCCCUGAAGACUCAAGAAGUAGGAAAACACCAAUAGAAUCAAUGCAAGAGUCAACUUGUGACCAGUUUUUAAGACCAAGCAAUGUGCUUCGUGGAAAGUCUGGUGAACUGCUGAAAGAUGGGUGUGUUAUUGCUUUGUAUGCAAGAGAUUACCUUGAACUCUAUGUCGCAAGGCAGAGAGUUAAAGGCGGUGGUUGGUUCCUGGAUGCCAUGUCAAAUGUAACCAAAAGAGAUCCCGCAGCACAGUUCCUUCUUGUUUUUAGAAGCAAGUACACCAUUGGAUUGCGCUCUUUUGCUGCUGGUGGAAAGUUAUUGCA
rnacentral:misc_RNA from 1 species